UGCUGCAUGGCUGUCGUCAGCUCGUGUUGUGAAAUGUUGGGUUAAGUCCCGCAACGAGCGCAACCCUUAUCCUUUGUUGCCAGCGAUUCGGUCGGGAACUCAAAGGAGACUGCCGGUGAUAAACCGGAGGAAGGUGGGGAUGACGUCAAGUCAUCAUGGCCCUUACGAGUAGGGCUACACACGUGCUACAAUGGCGUAUACAAAGAGAAGCGACCUCGCGAGAGCAAGCGGAACUCAUAAAGUACGUCGUAGUCCGGAUUGGAGUCUGCAACUCGACUCCAUGAAGUCGGAAUCGCUAGUAAUCGUAGAUCAGAAUGCUACGGUGAAUACGUUCCCGGGCCUUGUACACACCGCCCGUCACACCAUGGGAGUGGGUUGCAAAAGAAGUAGGUAGCUUAACCUUCGGGAGGGCGCUUACCACUUUGUGAUUCAUGACUGGGGUGAAGUCGUAACAAGGUAACCGUAGGGGAACCUGCGGUUGGAUCACCUCCUUA
rnacentral:rRNA from 1 species